CUCCCAGCUGAGCCCAGACCAACAGCCGUCACGGCAGGACGGAGCAGCCAGGCAGUAACUCCUCCUGAUGCCCACAUGGGAGCUGGAAAUGAGUCAUCCUAGUACUUACAUUUCCCAAUCCCAUAGGUGAGGCCAGAAGACUAUCAGGCAACACAAGCUGGUAAAAAAAGGCUGAUAAUGCUGAGUUUAGCAAGAAAUGUUUCAGUCCUGGCAGUCCCAUCCAGGAGCCAGAAGAGGCCCUUUCUCUCUCCUUUAAUAUGGUAACCAAAUUGGUUACUGUGUUCACCGAGUGAAUUUGGCAUUCGUGCUCCAGAAAGUUUGGUAGCCGUCCCCGUGGAGGUGCCCUCAAUGUGAGAGUUAAGGUCUGCUGCAGAGGUUGGGCUCUGCUUCUGUUGAACAUGGCUACUGUGCAAAACUGGGCACAAGGCCCCUUGGCUAGGGGUACACAUAACCCUUUGUGAGGAACCCAGGUGUCCUGUUACUUUCUUAGAUGGCUCCCUCUGGGCCCUAAUGACUCUAAUGUAACAGUGGUGGGUGGGAGGUAUGUUUUUUUCAGCCCGAACUGUGGGUCAGAGGCUGUAGUUGCCAGCAAAGGCCAGUUUCACCAAGUAGAGCUGUGCACUCCAAGGAUGGCAUGGAGGUUUAAGACCUGGUCUUCUACUUUCCUGAAUGAAUACACUAAGAAAUAUGCUGUGCGUAAAAAGCUUGUGAAUCCUGAUUUCACAUCUGCAGCUUCGUGUAGGCUUGAAGCAGAUGCCUGAAGGGUAGAGAGAGGCAGAACACUGUCUGUCACCCUCCUGUCCCUCACGGAGGAGCUUCCUCUCCCCUUCACUGCAGUGCUGUGACUUUCACUCAGAUACUUCAUCUUUCCUCUGCUCCAAUGACUCAUUUAAGACUGCGGCUCUGCUCUGGACAUCAGGAACAUAAAAGGUGUCAAGCAACAAAAAUCAUCCAACCUUCUGUGCUGAACCCAGUGAAAGGAAGGUAUCAGGGCUUCCAUGGGUGCUUUAGUCUUCUUGCAGACCUAAACAUGCAAUCUGCCUUGAAAGAACAGUGAGGUACAACUCCUAGAUGAUUUGUCAUGUCUAAAGCCAACCUCGACCAUUGAUUUUCCUAAAGGGGCUGUUGGAGCAGUUAAUACUGUGGCACCUCAAGACGUGAAUCAGAGCCUAGUUAUUACAAACCAGCACAAAUAACUAAACAGUGCUGCUCUGUUUGACACGCGCUCUUGCAGUCAAGCUCAUUCUGGAUCUUUCGACCUUCUCGACUCAUGCCGUUGCAGUGAGAAUCGGCAAGUUCCUCCGCAUACUCACAGUCCCAACAAGGAGGUCAACGUGAGAGAGAACCUGGAGCACCUUAAGGCACACCUUUUAGCUGCCUAAACUGUUGCACUGAGAAUUUUUUCAUGGGAGGAAAAGUUCUGAAGAACUUCAGUUUGGAACUAUCCAAGCAUUUUGCUCCAGUGUUGUUGAUCUAAAUGUAACAUUUUAAUGUUGCUGAAUUAAAAAUGUUUUCUUGUGC